UACGGGGGGGGUAAGCGUUGUUCGGAAUUACUGGGCGUAAAGGGCUCGUAGGCGGCCAACUAAGUCAUACGUGAAAUCCCUCAGCUUAACUGGGGAACUGCGUGCGAUACUGGAUGGCUUGGAUUUGGGAGAGGGAUGCGGAAUUCCAGGUGUAGCGGUGAAAUGCGUAGAUAUCUGGAGGAACACCGGUGGCGAAGGCGGCAUCCUGGACCAAUAUUGACGCUGAGGAGCGAAAGCCAGGGGAGCAAACGGG
rnacentral:rRNA from 1 species